UACGGAGGAUGCAAGUGUUAUCCGGAAUGAUUGGGCGUAAAGCGUCCGCAGGUGGCAAUGUAAGUCUGCUGUUAAAGAGUCUAGCUCAACUAGAUAAAAGCAGUGGAAACUACAUAGCUAGAGUACGUUCGGGGCAGAGGGAAUUCCUGGUGUAGCGGUGAAAUGCGUAGAGAUCAGGAAGAACACCAGUGGCGAAGGCGCUCUGCUAGGCCGUAACUGACACUGAGGGACGAAAGCUAGGGGAGCGAAUGGG
rnacentral:rRNA from 1 species